UACAGAGGUCUCAAGCGUUGUUCGGAUUCAUUGGGCGUAAAGGGUGCGUAGGUGGCGUGGUAAGUCUGGUGUGAAAUCCCGGGGCUCAACCCCGGAACUGCACUGGAUACUGCCAUGCUUGAGUACUGGAGAGGAGAUUGGAAUUUACGGUGUAGCAGUGAAAUGCGUAGAUAUCGUAAGGAAGACCAGUGGCGAAGGCGAAUCUCUUGACAGUUACUGACACUGAGGCACGAAGGCCAGGGGAGCAAACGGG
rnacentral:rRNA from 1 species